UAAAUGCUCUGUGUAAUAUCCUCUUGGGGAAAGGAUGAAAGCUUUCAGACCUAUCUGUUGUAAAGGUGUGCACUCAGCCAGAACACUAGUUUAUAUCUGUUGUCAUUUUGUUUGCAUUCAGGAACAUCAAUAAGGCUGUCACAGCGUUAUUAGUGACCACAAAUCUGCUCCUGAAAGCUUUUCUCUCUUGCUUGUCUCAGUCAGAUCCCACAUGCUGUUUUGCAAGGUGUCCUACAAUUAUUAUCAAGAACGAGGAGGUGGUGGGGUACUUCUACUACCUCAGAGCCCCUCCUCCUUGGAAUUCCAUUGCAGCAUAAUUUUCUGGUAUGGAGGUGAUGUUAGGUGUGCUACCUAGCAAGCAUGAAGUCCUCUUUCCCUUGGCUGAGGUUCUUCACUUCCAAGAAGACUUCACCACUCAGAAGAUUGCUGUCAAACUUUACUUCCCAUCACCGUUGGAGACAUUGUGUUUAGUGCCAGCCUGCACGUGCUCAGGUGACAAGGUUAGUUUCUCCUGGAUGUUGUUUAGCAUGUUCCAGUAGAUGUCGCAUUCGGCCUCAGAGGAAGACAUGAAAUCAAAUGUAAAGCAAGCAUUGCAGAUGUACCAUAUUUAACAUAGGCUGUGCUGGGAAAUGUCUGUGUUGUCAUACAGUCUGUGGAAAUACAAAGCAUAUAUCACUUAAAAGGUCCAGGUUUGUUGUUAUGCUGAUUUUAUAGCUCUUCAGGUACUGUUUCAUAGUCGUAAGUUUUCAUAGUAGGUUAAAGCAUCAUUUACAUCCUGGUGUCAUCACUCACUGCUGUUACUAAUGGCUUUAAAAUAGGUGUGAUUAGAAGCCUGCUUAUUAGGACUGGGGAAGCAGCACUAUUAAUAUUGUGUAGCACUUGUCUGCCUCAAGAGCUACCUGGGAGCAGGCUGAGGUUAAGUAGCUGUCCAACUGUUGUACAGCAACAACUAGGGUAACAUAAACUAAACCUUGCACAUCCAGAAAUGGACUGAAGUUAAUAUAGAUUAAACACCAGAGCUGGAUACUCAAAGUCCUUUUCUGUACUCCAUCCAUUGAAGGAAGAUUGCGUAAUUUGCCUUUUCACAGAGGCAAGUGCAGUAGUACUUGAUAUUUUUUGGAGCACUUCCACUAGCACUGACAACUGUGGGCAAAGCAGCAGCUGCCGCCUUCAUGGCCACGCCUCAGAGGGAUGUUACACAUGUGCACAUGAUAAUGAGAUAAUAAAAUUACAAACUACUACUUUGUUUGGAUGAAUGUUAGAGCAGCAUUGGAGAGACCUCACUCCAAGUGAGCAUCUUUGUGGGAAAGUCCUUUGAAUAUUUCCUGGUUUCUUUGGAUGCUAAGGGAAGUAUUGCAUUUUUCCAAGCUGAGAGCUUAGAGGUUAUAUAGUGAAUUAUUUUCAAAGUAUAGUAACAGUUUGCCAAACUUAAUGUGGAGCUGCAAAGGGUACUUCUAAGUACUAGUUCAGUGAGGUUUUUGCCACCUGAGAUAUCAGGAAAAUACCACAUAAAAGUCACUACAUCCUUGUGCUCCUUAAGCUCUUGAGUAUUUUUGGAAAUGUUAAGUUCAGGUUCAACUGCUCAAAUAUUACAGCUGCAAACUGUCCUAUCCUUAUUAUUUUAUUGAUUCAAUAAAACUGUGCCUUUUCUGCACAUUUUUUAGUGAAAACUAACUAAAGAUUUCUUCACCAGAAGUUGAGAGACAACAAAACUGUCUGAUGUCCCUCCUCUUGGAGGUGACUAAUUUAGGUAUCUUGAGAGAAUAUGCAACCAAGUAAAGGGACUGAAAUCAGUCUUUUUGCAAAAGUAUCUGGAAUAAUCACUGCAAUGAAUGAAAAAUGAUUUUUAAGUUAGGGGUCCGAAUGUUUUUCCUUCUAUGGAAAGCAGCUGGCUUGCAGUUGCUUUUGGUUUCCAUGCUCCCUUAUUAUAGAUGUCUGCAAAUUACUUGUUGUGAGUGUCUGAGGAGGAGUGUUGCAGAAGGUUCUGCUUCCCUUUCUUUCUGAAAAACAAGCUGGUGAAAUAGAGUUAAGCAUUCAUCACAAAUUUAAAAACUCUCACAUGAAAUCUGGAAUGUAGCUUCUAACUAUAAUUUUAGAUGUUAUGACAGAACUGAAUCAAUGCCCUAGAAACUAUGUACUUGGUGAGUAUUUGAAGUGUAUAGAAAUUGCCUUGCUUCCAGGGAAUGAAAUGAAGUAUAGAGGCUUUAGAUCUAGCCCAAGAUUCCCAGCUCUUGGACUCUCAGGGUUAAAUCUGAAUGUGUUUUAUUCUCAGUAUUAGAGUGGGGUGUAAAUGGAGUUCUUAAAAGAUUUGGCACGACGUAUGGCCUGUCAUAGGAGUUAAGGAUACAGUAUGCAAUUAUACCAUAGAAGUUUCUUGUGAUGCCUUGUUACCUUUUGAAAAACUAAAUGAAGUUUUUAAUUACUGAAGUGCUGUGUCUGAAGACAGCUAAUACUUGAUAUUCCAAGACUGAUAAACAUUUGCUGUGAC